AAUAAAUGCAGUUUUAGCACUGUUCAUGUCCAACGUUUGACCGUUUGUCUUAUUUGAAAAAAUAUUAUGAUUAGUAUUUUUAUUGUUAUUAGAUCAUAAAACAUGAAUAGUACUUUAUAUGUGGCUAAUUUUUUAAAUAAGACGGAUGGUCAAAGCGCUGAGCACAUAGAUACUAUGGCUGCACUUAUU
rfam:Oryza sativa (indica cultivar-group) chromosome 12, whole genome shotgun sequence.